rnacentral:rRNA from 1 species
AUUGAACGCUGGCGGCAGGCCUAACACAUGCAAGUCGAGCGGAUGAAGGGAGCUUGCUCCUGGAUUCAGCGGCGGGCGGGUGAGUAAUGCCUAGGAAUCUGCCUGGUAGUGGGGGAUAACGUCCGGAAACGGGCGCUAAUACCGCAUACGCCCUGAGGGAGAAAGUGGGGGAUCUUCGGACCUCACGCUAUCAGAUGAGCCUAGGUCGGAUUAGCUAGUUGGUGGGGUAAAGGCCUACCAAGGCGACGAUCCGUAACUGGUCUGAGAGGAUGAUCAGUCACACUGGAACUGAGACACGGUCCAGACUCCUACGGGAGGCAGCAGUGGGGAAUAUUGGACAAUGGGCGAAAGCCUGAUCCAGCCAUGCCGCGUGUGUGAAGAAGGUCUUCGGAUUGUAAAGCACUUUAAGUUGGGAGGAAGGGCAGUAAGUUAAUACCUUGCUGUUUUGACGUUACCAACAGAAUAAGCACCGGCUAACUUCGUG